ensembl:misc_RNA Y_RNA Y RNA
GGCUGGUCCAAUGGCAGUGGGUUAUCAGAACUUAUUAACAUUAGUGUCACUAAAGUUGGUAUACCACCCCCCCCACUGCUAAAUUUGACUGACUUUUA